UUGGCACCGCCUAUGCGCUGC
rnacentral:misc_RNA from 1 species